UGGGGAAUUUUGGACAAUGGGCGCAAGCCUGAUCCAGCAAUGCCGCGUGCAGGAUGAAGGCCUCCGGGUUGUAAACUGCUUUUGUCAGGGAAGAAACGAGUUUCUCUAAUACAGAGACUUAAUGACGGUACCUGAAGAAUAAGCACCGGCUAACUACGUGCCAGCAGCCGCGGUAAUACGUAGGGUGCAAGCGUUAAUCGGAAUUACUGGGCGGAAAGCGUGCGCAGGCGGUUAUGCAAGACAGAUGGGAAAUCCCCGGGCUUAACCUGGGAACUGCAUUUGUGCCUGCAUAGCUAGAGUACGGUAGAGGGGGAUGGAAUUCCGCGUGUAGCAGUGAAAUGCGUAGAUAUGCGGAGGAACACCGAUGGCGAAGGCAAUCCCCUGGACCUGUACUGACGCUCAUGCACGAAAGCGUGGGGAGCAAACA
rnacentral:rRNA from 1 species